GGGUACUAUUAAAUAGGGCAUGAAGAGGAGUUUGGGGGGUGUCCAAGAGUUGGAUGCCCCAUCUAAAAUUUAGGCAUGUAGGAAGAAAAGUAGAGUGCAGCUUCUUUUAAUUAUUUUUAUCAUGUAAGAAAGAUGGAUGUCCCCUUUUAUUUUAGCAUGAAAGAGUUCACGCAAAGAAGGGAUAGCGUGGAGUUUGGGGUGGCCUCGAACAAGGAUGUGGCAUGG
rnacentral:lncRNA from 1 species